GCUGGAAGGGUGAAUGUGUCGAGAAGCAGUUGGAGGAGUGGGCAAAGCCAUCAUGAUUUGCUGACGGGUUGGAUGUGAAGUAAAGAGGGAUAUAAAAUGGAAGGAGACAGCGGUCAGUCUGCAGUCAUGCUGAGGACAGGAUCACCCCUUUGGUCUGAGCCUUGGUAGAGGAACUGCAAGUUGGAAACAAUCCAGAUAUCCUUCAAGAAGUGAAUGGUUAGACAAAUCAUGUUCCAUUUGUCCAUGAAGUCACUACUCUGCAACCAGAAAGAACGAACUGCUUAUACCUGUAGCCACUUGAAAUGACUGGAAAACCAUGCUAAAUGCUGAGGGAGGGUCCCCAAAGUUUGCCGACUUCCC